ACACAUCUCACUCCACACAUCUCACUCCACACAUCACCUCACUCCACGCAUCUCACUCCACACAUCUCACUCCACGCAUCUCACUCCACACGUCUCACUCCACACAUCAUACUCCACACAUCUCACUCCACACAUCUCCUCAUUCCACACAUCUCACUCCACACAUCUCACUCCACACAUCUCCUCAUUCCACACAUCUCACUCCACACAUCACCUCACUCCACGCAUCUCACUCCACACAUCUCCUCACUCCACACAUCUCACUCCACACAUCUCCUCACUCCACACAUCUCACUCCACACAUCUCCUCACUCCACACAUCUCCUCACUCCACACAUCUCACUCCACACAUCUCCUCACUCCACACAUCUCCUCACUCCACACAUCUGACUCCACACAUCUCACUCCACGCAUCUCCUCACUCCACGCAUCUCACUCCACACAUCAUACUCCACACAUCUCACUCCACACAUCUCCUCAUUCCACACAUCUCACUCCACACAUCUCCUCAUUCCACACAUCUCACUCCACACAUCUCCUCAUUCCACACAUCUCACUCCACACAUCUCCUCACUCCACGCAUCUCACUCCACACAUCACUUCACUCCACGCAUCUCACUCCACACAUCUCCUCAUUCCACACAUCUCACUCCGCACAUCUCCUCAUUCCACACAUCUCACUCCACACAUCUCCUCACUCCACACAUCUCACUCCACGCAUCAACUCACUCCACGCAUCUCACUCCACACAUCUCCUUACUCCACACAUCUCACUCCACGCAUCUCCUCACUCCAUGCGUCUCCUCACUCCACACAUCUCCUCACUCCACACAUCUGACUCCACACAUCUCACUCCACGCAUCUCCUCACUCCACACAUCUCACUCCACGCAUCUCCUCACACCACGCAUCUCACUCCACACAUCUCCUCACUCCACACAUCUCCUCACUCCACACAUCUCACUCCAGACAUCUCCUCACUCCACACAUCUCACUCCACGCAUCUCCUCACUCCAUGCGUCUCCUCACUCCACGCAUCUCCUCACACCACGCAUCUCACUCCACACAUCUCCUCACUCCACGCAUCUCACUCCACACAUCUCCUCACUCCACACAUCUCACUCCACGCAUCUCCUCACUCCACACGUCUCCUCACUCCACACAUCUCCUCACUCCACACAUCUCACUCCACACAUCUCACUCCACACAUCUCCUCACUCCACACAUCUCCUCACUCCACACAUCUCCUCUCUCCACGCAUCUCACUCCACACAUCUCCUCUCUCCACACAUCUCACUCCACACAUCUCCUCACUCCACAGAAAUCCUCACUGUACG
rnacentral:lncRNA from 1 species